CGUAAGGACGGCCUUACGCAUUCGCAUCGAACGGGGACGGCCCCA
rnacentral:ncRNA from 1 species